rnacentral:rRNA from 1 species
CCUACGGGAGGCAGCAGUGGGGAAUUUUGCGCAAUGGGGGCAACCCUGACGCAGCAACGCCGCGUGAGUGAUGAAGGCCUUCGGGUCGUAAAGCUCUGUCAGAGGGGAAGAAAUGCAGGUGGUGAACAACCAUUCUGUUUGACGGUACCCUCAAAGGAAGCACCGGCUAACUCCGUGCCAGCAGCCGCGGUAAUACGGAGGGUGCGAGCGUUGUUCGGAAUUAUUGGGCGUAAAGCGCGUGUAGGCGGUUUGUUAAGUCUGAGGUAAAAGCCCCGGGCUCAACCGGGAAAGUGAAUUGGAUACUGGCAGACUUGAGUACGGGAGAGGAGAGUGGAAUUCCCAGUGUAGGAGUGAAAUCCGUAGAUAUUGGGAGGAACACCGGUGGCGAAGGCGGCUCUCUGGACAAAUACUGACGCUGAGGCGCGAAAGCAAGGGGAGCAAACGGGAUUAGAUCCCCCUGUAGU